UACGUAGGGUGCGAGCGUUGUCCGGAAUUAUUGGGCGUAAAGCGCUCGCAGGUGGUUCGAUGCGUCGUGCGUGAAAGCCCCCGGCUCAACUGGGGAGUGUCGUGCGAUACGGUCGAACUGGAGGCCAGUAGGGGGAUGCGGAAUUCCGGGUGUAGUGGUGGAAUGCGUAGAGAUCCGGAGGAACACCAGCGGCGAAGGCGGCAUCCUGGACUGGUCCUGACACUCAUGAGCGAAAGCGUGGGGAGCGAUCCGG
rnacentral:rRNA from 1 species